GUGGGGAAUCUUGCGCAAUGGGCGAAAGCCUGACGCAGCGACGCCGCGUGGGUGAUGAAGGCCUUCGGGUUGUAAAGCCCUGUGGGGAGGGACGAACAAGUUGCGACCUAACACGUCGUGACUCUGACGGUACCUCCUUAGCAAGCACCGGCUAACUCUGUGCCAGCAGCCGCGGUAAGACAGAGGGUGCAAACGUUGCUCGGAAUUACUGGGCGUAAAGCGCAUGUAGGCGGCUCCGUAAGUCGGAUGUGAAAGCCCUCGGCUUAACCGAGGAAGUGCAUUCGAUACUGCAGAGCUAGAGUAUCGGAGAGGGUCGUGGAAUUCCUGGUGUAGAGGUGAAAUUCGUAGAUAUCAGGAGGAACACCGGCGGCGAAGGCGGCGACCUGGACGAAUACUGACGCUCAGAUGCGAAAGCGUGGGUAGCAAACAGGAUUAGAUACCCUAGUAGUCC
rnacentral:rRNA from 1 species